GGGAAUGUAGCUCAGUGGUGGAGUACAUGCUUAGCAUGCAUGAGGUUCUUGGUUUAGAUGCCAGAAUUUCUA
rnacentral:tRNA from 1 species